UAAUAGCUCACUAGUCGAGUGACACUGCGCCGAAAAUGUACCGGGGCUAAACAUAUUACCGAAGCUGUGGAUUGUCCUUUGGACAAUGGUAGGAGAGCGUUCUAAGGGCGUUGAAGCAUGAUCGUAAGGACAUGUGGAGCGCUUAGAAGUGAGAAUGCCGGUGUGAGUAGCGAAAGACGGGUGAGAAUCCCGUCCACCGAUUGACUAAGGUUUCCAGAGGAAGGCUCGUCCGCUCUGGGUUAGUCGGGUCCUAAGCUGAGGCCGACAGGCGUAGGCGAUGGAUAACAGGUUGAUAUUCCUGUACCACCUAUAAUCGUUUUAAUCGAUGGGGGGGACGCAGUAGGAUAGGCGAAGCGUGCGAUUGGAUUGCACGUCUAAGCAGUAAGGCUGAGUAUUAGGCAAAUCCGGUACUCGUUAAGGCUGAGCUGUGAUGGGGAGAAGACAUUGUGUCUUCGAGUCGUUGAUUUCACACUGCCGAGAAAAGCCUCUAGAUAGAAAAUAGGUGCCCGUACCGCAAACCGACACAGGUAGUCAAGAUGAGAAUUCUAAGGUGAGCGAGCGAACUCUCGUUAAGGAACUCGGCAAAAUGACCCCGUAACUUCGGGAGAAGGGGUGCUCUUUAGGGUUAACGCCCAGAAGAGCCGCAGUGAAUAGGCCCAAGCGACUGUUUAUCAAAAACACAGGUCUCUGCUAAACCGUAAGGUGAUGUAUAGGGGCUGACGCCUGCCCGGUGCUGGAAGGUUAAGAGGAGUGGUUAGCUUCUGCGAAGCUACGAAUCGAAGCCCCAGUAAACGGCGGCCGUAACUAUAACGGUCCUAAGGUAGCGAAAUUCCUUGUCGGGUAAGUUCCGACCCGCACGAAAGGCGUAACGAUUUGGGCACUGUCUCAACGAGAGACUCGGUGAAAUCAUAGUACCUGUGAAGAUGCAGGUUACCCGCGACAGGACGGAAAGACCCCGUGGAGCUUUACUGUAGCCUGAUAUUGAAAUUCGGCACAGCUUGUACAGGAUAGGUAGGAGCCUUUGAAACGUGAGCGCUAGCUUACGUGGAGGCGCUGGUGGGAUACUACCCUAGCUGUGUUGGCUUUCUAACCCGCACCACUUAUCGUGGUGGGAGACAGUGUCAGGCGGGCAGUUUGACUGGGGCGGUCGCCUCCUAAAAGGUAACGGAGGCGCUCAAAGGUUCCCUCAGAAUGGUUGGAAAUCAUUCAUAGAGUGUAAAGGCAUAAGGGAGCUUGACUGCGAGACCUACAAGUCGAGCAGGGUCGAAAGACGGACUUAGUGAUCCGGUGGUUCCGCAUGGAAGGGCCAUCGCUCAACGGAUAAAAGCUACCCCGGGGAUAACAGGCUUAUCUCCCCCAAGAGUUCACAUCGACGGGGAGGUUUGGCACCUCGAUGUCGGCUCAUCGCAUCCUGGGGCUGUAGUCGGUCCCAAGGGUUGGGCUGUUCGCCCAUUAAAGCGGUACGCGAGCUGGGUUCAGAACGUCGUGAGACAGUUCGGUCCCUAUCCGUCGUGGGCGUAGGAAAUUUGAGAGGAGCUGUCCUUAGUACGAGAGGACCGGGAUGGACAUACCUCUGGUGUACCAGUUGUCGUGCCAACGGCAUAGCUGGGUAGCUAUGUGUGGACGGGAUAAGUGCUGAAAGCAUCUAAGCAUGAAGCCCCCC
rnacentral:rRNA from 1 species